AACGAAAUCACUUCGAUCAUUGGGUGGUUAGCCUCUUGAUCUCAAUCGAUUCCAAGGUGGUUAGCCGAAGAGUCACAACCGUUCCUUAGGUGGUUAGCCUACGGUUCAAACCAGGUUUACCGAGUGCCGUUCAUAGCCCUCGACGCAGCCAUUCACUUUCCCCGCCUUGUUCAUCCAAGGAUCUAUCCAUUUCAAUACCAACAAGAGUGUGCAAUCUUUGGGAGUUC
rnacentral:lncRNA from 1 species